GUAAAUCUAUUUUGAAUUUUACUUUUUAGACUUUGUCAGUUUAUUUUUCCAGUUGCAAAUAAUUGCAAAAAAUGAAAUGUUUUUCAGAUGAUGAACAACAUGGGAGGUGAGGAUGACCUUCCUGAUCUAGACGGUGCAGAAGAGGACGACUCUGCAGAUAGCGAUGAUGAGAAAAUGCCCGACUUGGAGUAGAAGCCUGAAAGACUGUAAGGAUGGAAAAUGGAAGAAACGGCGGAGGAGAGAAACCUCGACAAAUGUGUAUCUUUAAACUAACGGCCGCGAUAAACAACUGUACAUACGA